rnacentral:pre_miRNA from 1 species
CAUGCACCAGUGGGGUCCCUCGGCCUGGCCUGUGCCCUCUUGCAAUCCGGGACCCCUUGCGGGAUGUUGGAGAGCUGAUUUCGACCUGAUCCCGCAGGCCAGGCCGAGGGACCCCACUGGUGCACG